rnacentral:tRNA from 1 species
GCCUGUUUAGCUCAGUUGGCAUCCGCAGCGGCGAGGUGAGCGUCUUUUGCUCGCCCGCCCUGCUGCGCAGGGGCUUCAUCAGAGCGCCGUCUCGAUAAGGCGGAUGUCGUUCGUUCGAUCCGAACAACAGGCACCA